UUACCCUCUUGGUACAAAUUUACUUUUUGUUCAAAUCUAAUGGCAUUACUAAACUAAUAGCAAUUAGAAAAACUCUGGACAUUUUUCAUACUUGGUUUAUAAUUUUUGUCAUUGUCACUGAAGCUAGAAUAACUGUUCUAGACACAUUUAUCUUUUCACAGAAAAAAAAAAAAAACUACAGUCCUUAAGUGGGGCAUUUUCCCCCACUGUACCUUACAGAAUAAGCUGUAUUUUUUUUCUAUGAACCCUUCUAAACAUACUGUAGGAGCCAAAUUAGGAGUAUGGCCCUUUAAUUACAGCCAGCGGAAGUGAAUGUUAGUGACACCUGUUGAUUGCAUCAGGUCCUAUGCUGGUGGUAGAUAGAAGCACGUUAUGCAGGAGCAUGGUAAUCAAAGACGCCAAGCCGUUAUAGUUUUUCAACGGUGGAAAGUUACUAAAGCAACGCACUUUAUUUGAUUUGUUUGGAAUACCAUGGUAUGUCCUUAUAUUUGUUUGAAUCUGCGCAUUGGAUUCAAUCACACGUCAAUUAUACAAUGAAUCAACAACAGCACUGCACAAUUACACAUCCCGUAACUUCAAGCAAAUUUCAAGUAUCGACAGUAAUUGCCAGAUUGAGGAUCAACAACAAAAAUGGUUUGUGAUAUAGCAUGCAGAUACUAGAAAGAUAAACAAAUACUGUAUGAAUCAAUGACAUACCCAAACAUAAGCUCAAUCAUAUAUACACAAUAUAAACAAUACCUGGCUUUUUAAGGUGUAGUACAGAACAUAUUUGCACAUUAGUGUAAAUGAAGAUCAUAGUGUUUUCACUCACCACAAACUUCCAGUGCACAUUGCCAGUAUUUACAAAAGUGAUUACACCAUUGUAAUCCUCAAAGUUCACCUGUGUGGCAAAAAUGACAAAGUUAAUGACAAUUCAAGCAAUUGUGAUAGGGUAGAUGUUCAGUCAAAACACUUCUGUAACUCUUUCACUCACUUUUCUCAACCCUUGUCGAGCCAUCUGUUCUCUUUUGCCACGCAAAAUGACACCAGUGAUGUAAUGACUUAACUGAAAGAUCUUACCAGUUGCAUCACAAGAAUUGAGAACAGUGCGGAAGUAGCUCUCAAUUGCCUGAAUGAGAGGUUGAAAAGUUAAAAGCAUAUUGUAUUUCAAAUCACAUUAUUUGUUUUAUUUAAGUCUUAAAUACUUCUCACACACAAACUCAAACCAAAUGCCACAUUUUGAACUGUGCAUUUAUUAUAUAUAUAUAUAUAUAUAUAUAUAUAUAUAUAUAUAUAUAUCAUGAACUUACCUCCCCAACUAACAAUUCGUGUGGCCUCAAAGUUUGAAAAUCCCUGAGGUGCAACAGGUACUCCUGUUUCCUGUCAGGGGCUCUUACAAUCACCACAAUAAGGUCAGUAGGAUCACUUUGCCAUAGCAUGUCAACCUGUAAUAAUACUCAGUUAAAGUAGUGUUGCUUUUGCUUGUAACAUUGCAUGCAUUACAAUAUACACUUUAAUAAUAUUUACUUUUAUUACCUCUUCCUCCACAGGAACUACCUUUGAGGAAAGAUCACAGGGGACCAAUUUUGACCUGCUUUCUUGGCCGUACCCAUCUAUGCAUGUCACAUCCUUUUGGUUAAUCUGUGUCUUUUUCUGGGGGGCUGGCACACAAGGAGGAGGGGAAUGCAUGGUUUUUUAUUAUUUUUUUAAACAGCGUGUCUAAAAUUUUAACAUGCCAGAAAGCAGGCAGCCAGACAUUAAGGUGUAUGACCAGUCAGACAGAAGUUGACACAGAGGUUUUUGAAGAAGUAGUGAAGGAGUCACCUGGAACUCUGAGAAUCAUGCUGGGCAAUGGAGGACUUGGUAUUCAUUCAGACAAUUCACAAAUUAGUUUAUUUAGUUUAAAGGCCGGAAUGAGAAAAUUUAUUGUCUUAAAAUACCAGUAACUUUUUCUUGUAAUAUGUUUCUUAAUUUUGUACCAAUUUCAUAAUGAACAGCCUCUCAAUUAUCAUCAUGCUCGGGUACAUCUGAUGACACCGUCAUCCUGAAUUUCACAAUGUGUGACCCUGUUGAAGAAGAAGCCACUGCCGAAGGAAGACAGCCUAAAAGGCCAUGCCACAUAAACUGAGGCAAAAGUGCCUGGUGGUGAACAAAUUAUGCAAGAGUAUGGAAAAACCAAAUCCCUGACAGAUGCCACCAGAAGACAGAUGAAUAACAUACUUGCUGCUGAGAUGCCAGAAACACACGGAUAGAACAAUAUUUCAGAUUUCUGUUUGGUGAGGCCACGGCCAUCAAAUUCUGGAGAAGUGGCCAACCACUUUUAAAGCAAAAGUAAUAAAGGAAAGCCACGGACUUGUACCCACCACAGAACUCUUGGAUUUGAUGCGCAAUGCUGAGUCAGCUGCUGAAGUUGAGAAUAGUAUGAAUGGAACUGUUUUACUUGUUGUUGUGGGUUAUGUAGGCUGGGACAGUGACAUGUCUGCCAUCUUGCUGCUGCUACAUCUGCUACCACCAUCUGCACAAGGUAGAAAGAGGCCGGGAAAGCUUUCUGCGUAUCAAGCUGUAGAUCAGCUCAUAAGAUUUCAAAAGGCCUUUUGACAUAGAAAUGUCAUAUGGAGGAAAUGACACUCUACUUGUUGUGCCAUAUUGCUUUCUCUGGUAAACAUUUUUAUGAUGUUAUACAUGUUUCGGUCAGAGACAAGGCAAUGGGUUUGCAAUGUAAAUUCAAUGACAUUGAAAUGCUUUAUUUUUUACAAUAAAUUGUGAGUUCUGUGAUCUAGUGUUAUUGUGCUUGUUUUUAUUUGGAUAGUAGUUGAUAGUUCUAUAAUUCAGUAACACUGCAUUUUAUGAUUUAUGUAUUUGUUUUAAAAAAAACACUGUAGAGAAAUGAAAAGUAAAUAUUACACUUUGUCUUUUUUAAAAGUAAAAUUGUAGAUAAAUUAACUUUUUACUGUGUAAUUAUAUUACUCUUAACAGUGUGAUUAAACUACAGUGUUAAUAUACUUUUAUACUUUUAUACUACUUUUUAUACUUUUACACAUUUCAUUGCUAUUUUUUACACAAUAUUGAGUAGAAUUAACUCUAAAAACUUGACACUGACCAAAGAGUAAAUUUUACAGUGAUUUCGAGUGGGACCAAAUGUUAUCUGAAACAGAGUCAAAUUCAACUCUUUAGGAGUUAAAUUAACACUUCUGUUUUUAUGCAUUUCUAGAAACAUGGAUUAAAACCCAUAGAGGCAGUGAUACAUCUGGACCAAACAAUUGUACAUUUAAGACUUGUAGUAUGUUCUUUAGUGUCAAAUAAUUAUUUUACAACUACUUUUAAAGCGGUGUGACCCUCCAUUCAAAAGCUACUGAACCGGAAAAUGUAAGGAAACCCAUAUAAUACAGUGUAACAGUGUUACCUGUUAUCAGGCUAUUUUUGAUCGUAUUCACCACUAGGGUGUGCUAGAGUGUUAAAGCCCCAGGUAUUUAAUCAGUUGGGAGUGUAGAAGAAGUCAGGUUGUUUGGAAGAGGGAAGCAUGGGCUUACCCCCUAUGGCUUACCCUAGCACCUCCAGCAAAACUCAUUGGAGUCCUGAUUGAGAAACUUUGUUUCCAGUUCAAUUAUGUAAGUUUUGUUUAUCUUUGUGUCAUACAUCUGUUUUCACUUGAUGUAUAUAAUUUAUGUGAGGGUUUCUUUAGCUAAUGGUAGAUUUCUUUUCUUUUUGUAGAUGGACUCUUUAAAUGUUCCUUUAUAUUUUUGUGUCUUUAAUCUGUAUGAGUAGUUGCAAGGACACUACUUACAGUAUAUGGACAUCAAGUGUUUCUCCCCAUUGGAUGGUUCACUACAUUACUUUGUGGAUUAUCAAAUGUCCUGAGUACAAGGAUUUGACUGUGGGCUUCCAUGUUGGCUGGAUGCUUUGAAGAGCACUUGAGGAGGGUUCACUUUUUGUGGGAAAGUUUUUUUUUUUUUUUUUUGGUUCAUUUUCAAUGGGACAUGGAUAUUAUCCUGAACCUUGACUAUUCAACGUGUUUGGGGAUGGUUCUAGAUUUACCCAAAGAAUCAUUCAUCUACAACUGUGAACUGAUCAGAUAAGCUUUGUUUUCCAUCGUCAUUGCCAUACUUUUCCUGUUAUUUCACAUUACUUUAUAGACAAUCUACAAGUAUAUUCUCUUGAUUUACUGUACUGGUUUUAUUUCAGUUCAUUCUUCUUUUCAUGUACGUACAUUGCUUCAUUUGUUUGUUUUUUUUUCACAUUCAAUUUAUAUAAAGGUGUAGAAAUACAAGCCUUGUCUUUGGUGUUUGUGACAAUACACUGGGAAAUAGAUUUAAUACAUAUUUUUAGCAGCGUUACGUUAAUAGUUGGUGGGCCCCUCCUGUAUUUCAGAUACGUAUAACUGCUGAUAGUCGUUAUAACAGUGAUGGUAGAAAUUGACCAUAUCGAGCAAAUAAUUGUCCAUUUAAGACUUGUAGUAUGUUCUUUAGGGUCAGAUAAUUAUUUUAAAACUUAUUUUGUAAUGGUAUGACACUCCAUUUAAAAGCUAUUGAGCUUGAAGGUGUGUCAAUGAAGAAACCCAUAGAAUAGACUGAUUUGUGGAAAUUGAACUUCUUGAGUAAAUUCUUCCACAUUUAAGACUUGUAGUAUGUUCUUUAGGGUCAGAUAAUUAUUUUAAAACUUAUUUUGUAACAGUGUGACCCUCCUUUCAAAAACUAUAGAACAGGAA